UGACGGUAAUGGGUAAAGAAGCACCGGCUAACUACGUGCCAGCAGCCGCGGUGAUACGUAGGGUGCGAGCGUUGUCCGGAUUUAUUGGGCGUAAAGGGCUCGUAGGUGGUUGAUCGCGUCGGAAGUGUAAUCUUGGGGCUUAACCCUGAGCGUGCUUUCGAUACGGGUUGACUUGAGGAAGGUAGGGGAGAAUGGAAUUCCUGGUGGAGCGGUGGAAUGCGCAGAUAUCAGGAGGAACACCAGUGGCGAAGGCGGUUCUCUGGGCCUUUCCUGACGCUGAGGAGCGAAAGCGUGGGGAGCGAACAGGCUUAGAUACCCUGGUAGUCCACGCUGUAAACGGUGGGUACUAGGUGUGGGGUCCAUUCCACGGGUUCCGUGCCGUAGCUAACGCUUUAAGUACCCCGCCUGGGGAGUACGGCCGCAAGGCUAAAACUCAAAGGAAUUGACGGGGCCCCGCACAAGCGGCGGAGCAUGCGGAUUAAUUCGAUGCAACGCGUAGAACCUUACCUGGGUUUGACAUGGAUCGGGAGCGCUCAGAGAUGGGUGUGCCUCUUUUGGGGUCGGUUCACAGGUGGUGCAUGGCUGUCGUCAGCUCGUGUCGUGAGAUGUUGGGUUAAGUCCCGCAACGAGCGCAACCCUUGUUCACUGUUGCCAGCACGUUAUGGUGGGGACUCAGUGGAGACCGCCGGGGUCAACUCGGAGGAAGGUGGGGAUGACGUCAAGUCAUCAUGCCCCUUAUGUCCAGGGCUUCACGCAUGCUACAAUGGCUGGUACAGAGAGUGGCGAGCCUGUGAGGGUGAGCGAAUCUCGGAAAGCCGGUCUCAGUUCGGAUUGGGGUCUGCAACUC
rnacentral:rRNA from 1 species